AUGAUCACCUCAUCUCUCUGCUUGUUUCUGCUUCUUGCAGCUGUCUCUCGUGUCCACUGUGUUGAACUGACCCAGACUGAUUCUAUUGUCUUGAGGCCUGGUCAGGUUUUGACGCUGUCUUGUAAAAUCUCUGGAUAUUCAGUGACUGAGAGCUACUGCACAAAUUUUAUACGACAAGCUGCAGGAAAAGCUCUGGAGUGGAUUGGAAUUAUCUGCUAUGAUGGAAGCUUAGCCUACAAGGAUUCUCUGAAAAGCAAGUUCAGCAUCACCAGAGACACUUCCAGUAACACAAUAACACUGCAAGGAAAUAAUAUGAAAGCUGAAGACACAGCUGUGUAUUAUUGUGCCAGACGUACUAAAUGUCAGACAUUUACUCAGUCUGAAGCUGUGGUUAAAAAACCAGGAGAGUCCCAUUCACUUACAUGUUCAAUAGCAGGAUUUACAUUCAGUAGCCUUUAUUUACACUGGAUCAGACAGAGCCCUGGAAAAGCACUGGAGUGGAUUGCAUACAUCAGCACACAAAGUUCUCCUAUUUACUAUUCUCAGUCAGUCCAGGGAAGGUUCACAGUGUCCAGAGAUGAUUCCAGCAGUCAGCUGUACCUGCAGAUGAACAACCUCAAGACUGAAGACACUGCUGUCUAUUACUGUGCUAAAGAGACACUGUGA